UCGCGCGUUCCGUAAACUUUUGUACAGCACUGUACACAUUGUGCAGAGCACAACCGGAAAAUAGAGGAGCUUGAGCAACGAGCAUGCAAAUGCCCGCCUGACAAAGAAGCUUCGCAGAGCCAAAGAGAAGUGUGUCAUGACCAACACGGUGGAUCAAAUGGAAAAUCUAAUCCAGACUGCCUCCAACCAGAGCGCUGCUGCUGUUACAGCAGCACCAAUGCUGGACAUCGGCUUAGGUGUUUGCGUGGACGCCGGUGUUCUGCACAGAAUAGAGAGCUGCAAAGGGGAUAGGACAAGGCUGGCCCAUGCCCUCAUUUGGCCAGUGUUUUCUCCCGAG